UCGCUCCUACUGAUUGAGUGGUCCGGUGAAUAAUUUGGACUGCAACAGUGUUCGCCCCAGAGCGCUGCUGCAUGAAGUUUGGUGAACCUUACCACUUAGAGGAAGGAG
rnacentral:rRNA from 1 species